rnacentral:lncRNA from 1 species
CCUUCGUUUCACCUUGUUCAAGUUUAGAAAAAGAAGGAGUUCUCUCUUUGGAGCUCUCAUGCUUACAAUCAGAAGACUUCCCCCCUCUCGUCUCAUUCUUCUCAAUUUCUUCACCCCUUUUGUCAGCAUCUGAUUCAUCCCAUCUUCUCCUCGAGUUCCUCCCUUCAUGGCCUUUCUCUCGACUGCUUUCUCUCCUAUCGGAAUACUUAUCCUCUUUAUCCAGUGCCUUCUCUUGUUCUCCAUCAACAGACCUCUCUUCUUUGCUUUUACUUCCCCCCUUCGAACUUUCUUGGUACCAAUUACUCAACUUCUCCAAGCUACUCUCUUCUUGUUUCUUCUUCGACCUUGAAUCCUUCCGAGCCUCAUAAUCAUCUUCGUCACUCCCAACUCUGCUAGAGCUGCCACCACCUCCUCCUGACCUCUUACGGCUCUCACUCCUUUCUCCACCCGAACUCCUUCUUCUACCACCAACAUCUAAUCCAUCACCUUCAUCAUUGCUCAACUUUCU